UAGUGGCGGCAGGUCAGGAGGUCUGGAGCUGGGGGCCCGGAACGAUGCAUGGCACACAGUACGAGCUCAGUAGGUACGUGUUGAAUGGGGGCAGUUCCAGAGCAGCGUCUAAUACCGUUGUUAUACCCCAGGAUGUUAUUGCCAUUGAAGGAAGCAUUCCGUAGAUGAGGAGCCUUGACAGCAGAAAGCCAAGUUCUCUUCAAUUGUCCACUAUUGACAAAGACCGCGGUCAAGUUAGGCCAAAAGCCAAAGUGCUCCUCGUUGAAAAAUGCUGUGGAAGAUUAGGCUAAAUACCAGCCACUUUUUCUUAAUCAAGAAACUCAGCUAACAAGUUGGAGCUUUUAAAUGCAGAAGGAAGAGAAGAGAGUAUAGAAAAGAGGUAAGAGGAAGAUCAGAAGAGAGAAGAAACAACUUCACCUCAACUCAAACAACUUCCACUCAACUCAAAACCCCAACUCAAAUGCCGCUCAAAAGGCAUCUCUUUCUUCUAUCUCCCAAUAUCCCUUUCUACAUCUUGACUUACCAGGAUAAAAUUAAAUAUAUUUUAGACA